rnacentral:rRNA from 1 species
GACAGAGGGUGCAAAUGUUGUUCGGAAUUACUGGGCGUAAAGGGCGCGUAGGCGGACAGUUUAGUCAGAGGUGAAAGCCCAGGGCUCAACCUUGGAAUUGCCUUUGAUACUGGCUGUCUUGAGUUCGGGAGAGGUGAGUGGAAUGCCGAGUGUAGAGGUGAAAUUCGUAGAUAUUCGGCGGAACACCAGUGGCGAAGGCGACUCACUGGCCCGAUACUGACGCUGAGGCGCGAAAGCGUGGGGAGCAAACAGG